AUUGAACGCUGGCGGAAUGCUUUACACAUGCAAGUCGAACGGCAGCACGGGGGCAGCCCUGGUGGCGAGUGGCGAACGGGUGAGUAAUACAUCGGAACGUGCCCGGUCGUGGGGGAUAACGUAGCGAAAGUUACGCUGAUACCGCAUACGAUCUGAGGAUGAAAGCGGGGGACCUUCGGGCCUCGCGCGAUCGGAGCGGCCGAUGUCAGAUUAGGUAGUUGGUGGGGUAAAGGCCUACCAAGCCGACGAUCUGUAGCUGGUCUGAGAGGACGACCAGCCACACUGGGACUGAGACACGGCCCAGACUCCUACGGGAGGCAGCAGUGGGGAAUUUUGGACAAUGGGCGCAAGCCUGAUCCAGCCAUUCCGCGUGCAGGACGAAGGCCUUCGGGUUGUAAACCGCUUUUGUACGGAACGAAAAGGCUCUGGCUAAUACCUGGGGCUCAUGACGGUACCGUAAGAAUAAGCACCGGCUAACUACGUG
rnacentral:rRNA from 1 species